GUGAGAUCCUUCUUAGGUAGUAUUGUGAGAGAUUAUGAUUUGAGAUCAUCUAUAAGUUAGGAAUAAUGUCGGUCUGAUUAAUUAGAAUUGCUUGAAUUUAGUACUUUUUGUAUCAUGGGGCAUAGAGUUUGUAUCUGUUUAGUUUGUCCUGAAAAGUCCUGAGCUAUCUCCCUUAUAAAUUUGAGUAUUUUUGUCUUGUGAUGUUGCAGUAUCAUGGGUAAUAGGGAGAUUGUGGUGAAAUGUCUGUCGGAGGACUUGAUAGCUGGUUAAUCGGGAAAUGUACAUGAGUACAGCGAAAAUUCUGGGUGCUUGAGUUGUGUCAGGUGGUCAAGGGUUUUCAGUGAAGUCAGAGGGGUUAAUCUCUUUGAGUGUCUUGGGUUAUUGGUUGUGAAGUAGGGUUAAUGGUGCCUAUCUUAUGUUGAAUUUUUGUUCAAAGCUGCCAACACAGUAUUAUCGAUUAUUACCGUUUUUCAUGAUCAAAUUUAUUGUUGUGAAAGUAGUAUGCCAUGAGUAAGUGAGUUGAGGUACAAUUACGAUGCGUCGUUGAGAAGCAGAAGUUUUGGGUUUAGAAAGUUUAUUUCUCGUUCGUGAAAGUGAGUAGUAAAGUAAGCAUAAGGAACUCGGCAAAAGUCCCCUUCGCCUGUUUAUUAAAAACAUCGCUUCUAGAAUUUGAUUUUAUUAGAGGUCGUGCCUGCCCGGUGAAGAAAUUUGCUUUAAACGGUUGCUGUUGAUAGCAGUACGAAGGUAGCACAAUCAAUAGUCCUUUAAUUGGGGAACAGAAUGAAUGGCUUGACGUGAGGGGAGCUGUCUCAUGCUUAUAAGCUGAAAUUUACAUUUAUGUGAGAAGGCAUAAAUUUUACCAUUAGACGAGAAGACCCCAUCGAGCUUGAUGAGGGCUGUUUAUUAUAAGUUAGUUUCUAAGUUUAGUUGGGGUGACUGGAUGCAUGUACAACGCAUUUGAAUUAGGAAAAGUAAUGAAGAUCCCUUAGUAAGGAUAUGGAGAAAAAGUUACCGUGGGGAUAACAGCGUAAUGCUUCUGGAGAGAUCUUAUUGAAGGAAGAUGUUGCGACCUCGAUGUUGAAUUAGGGUGUUAUCUUGGCGCAGCAGUUAAGAUGGUGGGACUGUUCGUCCCUUAAAAUCCUACAUGAUUUGAGUUUAGACCGGCGUGAGCUAGGUCGGAUUCUAUCUUUGUUUAGGGCCUCCUUUGUACGAAAGGAUCGGGAGGCUGACCUGAGGGUUAUAAGUAAGUGACCA
rnacentral:rRNA from 1 species